GCGAUGGCGGCAGCUCUGGGGUGUCCCUCCGGACUGGACGGCCGUGGGCUCCGUCGGCGUCCGGCGAGGCCGGGGCAGAGCCUGACUUGGCCCAAGCCCGGUGGACGUGCUGCCCGGACAAGCGGCUCCAGCCCUCCCCCGGGGAUCCCUCUGCACUGUAGCACCUGCGUCACCCUCCUGCACCCCACCUCCUUGUCCAGGGAAGCCUCGAGGUGCAGGGACCGGUCAGACAUGAGGAAGUGGCGUGUGGUUUCUGCUGAGGGCUGGGGGCCGGGUUUCUCUGGGGCAAAUUGCACCUUUCGGAUCACCAGCCGCACAGAGUUCCUGGGGGUGGGGAGGAGGGGUGGGAGGGGCCGGGCCUCAGACACCCAGACCGCCCCCCCCGCCCCCCCCCCCCACGGGCCUGGGGCUCCUGGGAGAGGGGAGGACGCGAUCAAACCAUACAGGGGCUCGGUUCCCUCACCUUUUGUGGCUUUUCUCUUCUAGCGAUUUGGCACAGAAGGCUCGAAUCUCAAAGUCUACUCCACAGGCCUCAGGAGGAGGAGAAAAGGUCACGUCUUACACAAGGUCCCCUCUGCCACCACGCCCUUCCUUCCCUCGUCUUCAUCAGGGACUCUUGCCUCAUCACAGUCUGAGGAGUGUGGGGCCUGGGGCUCCGUCCCCCCGCCUCUGCUAAAAGCCCAGUACCUGGCCGAGUGAGCCCCCGUACUCCCCGUGGGCGUGCGGCUCCCGAGUCACACGCGAGCGGUGACCCUCCCCCACACACCGUAUUUCCACUGGGGACGGUUCCCACCCCGCUCCUCCCUGACAGCCCCCCUCUCGGGUGUGCCCCGGGCUCCUACUGGGCCCUGGUCUGCCCCGGGAGCCCUCAGAGCCCUUCCUGCCGCACCUUCCCCGUGUCCUCUGGGCCCGGCUGCAGCGUGACGGAGCAGGGCAGGUUCUGG